UACGAAGGGUGCAAGCGUUACUCGGAAUUACUGGGCGUAAAGGGCGCGUAGGCGGCCAGCACAAGUCAGUUGUGAAAUCUCCGAGCUUAACUCGGAAAGGUCAACUGAUACUGUGCGGCUAGAGUGCGGAAGGGGCAACUGGAAUUCUUGGUGUAGCGGUGAAAUGCGUAGAUAUCAAGAGGAACACCGGUGGCGAAGGCGGGUCUCUGGGCCGAUACUGACGCUGAGGAGCGAAAGCGUGGGGAGCAAACAGG
rnacentral:rRNA from 1 species